UACGUAGGGAGCAAGCGUUGUCCGGAAUCAUUGGGCGUAAAGCGCGCGUAGGUGGCUUCGUAAGUCCGUUGUGAAAGUCAAAGGCUCAACCUUUGAAAGCCGAUGGAUACUGUGAAGCUAGAGUACGGAAGAGGCGAGUGGAAUUCCUGGUGUAGCGGUGGAAUGCGCAGAUAUCAGGAGGAACACCAAUAGCGAAGGCAGCUCGCUGGGACGUCACUGACGCUGAGACGCGAAAGCGUGGGGAGCAAACAGG
rnacentral:rRNA from 1 species